UGAGGUGAAACUGACUCUAUGGGGACAACGUGCCGCUGAGUUUACCAUAGAUGAAGUUUACAAUGAAGAAGAAAGUAAACCAAUUGUUAUGCUGAUCGUCGGCAACCUCAUGAAAAGCUUCGCAGGUGAAGAAUAUCUGAGUGGAAACACUGCCUGCCGUUGGUAUUUUAAUCCUGUAAUUCCAGAAGUUGAAGACUUUUAUAACAGCACUCACAACCAGCGACUCACAAUCAAGUGUUCCACUCCUCCUGCGCAUCAAGCAGCGCUGCCACAACCAUCACUACAACUCGAGGAUAAGCAUUUGCUUGACUUACAAGAAAUGGACCCAUAUGAUUUUCCGCAAGGUGGCUGCCGCUGUACCGUCACUAUAACACGACUAAACUCAAACAGACCAUGGUGGUUCCCAUCAUGUAACAGGUGCAGCAGAGCCUGUGCACCAAGUGGCGAUAGUUACAAAUGCAACACAUGCUCGUGUACUGGCUAUUGCUUCAAGUAAGAAUCAUUUACCCUCCUUUUUCAUUAAUAUACAUAUACAUUGACCUAUGCAUUACAUAAUAAUAUUCCUAUAGAUACAAGCUAUCUUUCAUUGGGAAUGACGGAACUGCGGAAGCUGAGAUGAUAGCUUUCGGAGAAGUUGCUCGCCGGAUCAUUGGUAAACCAGUCCAGCAAGUCUUAAGAUUUGCAAGAUCUGCAAAUGACACCCCUCCUGACAUUGCAGCCAUAGUAUCCCUAAAAUUCACCUUUGCAAUAACCCUAACAGAUCAGAGCUACUACAGUCCCCACAAAACAUAUCAGAUCAUCUCCAUCAUCACUUCUUAUGGAAGACAACAAACACUGCCCCAUACAAGAUUCAGCCAACCCAAGGAACCAACAACCUCACAAAUAGCUAACCCAAUACUUCACUCUCAUAUUUCCACCACCAAUCCAGGUGCUAUUGUGCCUGAUGCUACCCUUCCAUCUGGACUCAAAAGCGAUACAUCUGCCUCGCAACCAGAAACUCAGAAAGCAGCCACAAGAAAUGUACAAACACACAGUACUCCUCCCCCUACACUGGAAUAUGAUGAAUCGCCUCUGAAAAAACUUGAAUAUCCAGAUGCCACUGACCUGUCUAAACACACAAGUGCUCAAAAAAGAUUGUUUGAAGAUAUAAUAGAUCCUGGAAAGGCAAGC